UACGUAGGGUGCAAGCGUUAAUCGGAAUUACUGGGCGUAAAGCGUGCGCAGGCGGUUUUGUAAGUCUGUCGUGAAAUCCCCGGGCUCAACCUGGGAAUUGCGAUGGAGACUGCAAGGCUAGAAUCUGGCAGAGGGGGGUAGAAUUCCACGUGUAGCAGUGAAAUGCGUAGAGAUGUGGAGGAACACCAAUGGCGAAGGCAGCCUUCUGGGCCAACACUGACGCUCAUGCACGAAAGCGUGGGGAGCAAACAGG
rnacentral:rRNA from 1 species